ensembl:lncRNA
UUCCUGCAAGAAUCUCUUGUCAGUUACCAGUCCAGUCCUGCAUCUUGGGUCUUACCAGGCUCAGGUUUUCGUUACUCAUAUUUCUCUAUUUCUCUUACCUCAUAAAUGAAUCUUUCCAUUUCAGACCUAUCUUUGAGUCAAUAUCUCUUAAUGUCUUGAUCUGGGUUUUUUUUCCUUCCUUCUCCGAGGUGAUUGAACCCAGGUUCAGGAUCUCUUGCAUGGUAUUCAGUGACUUCCUGUGGCCACGGCUCCUCACUGCAGUCACCACCCAGCCUACUUCACACCCAUCAGAUCCUGCCAUGAAAAUCCCGAUCUCUCCAGACUCUCACUCCUUGAGGACUCUUCCAGGAGACAAAUGCUGAUUGCACACAUAAACUCCAGCCAAGGUUUUAAAGGGAGGAAUGAAAAGUAUCCAGCGCAUCAUAAUAAACAGAUAGCAAGGACUUCCUUUUCUAAAGAAAUUUGGAAACUUCAAAUCUCCUUUCUUACAGUUUUCAGUGAGACCUCAUUGUGAACUUUUUCUGAUGGAAAGAAGUAUUUUCAAGAACAUCAAGUGCUUUCAAGAAUAAUUAAGAAUUAUUCCAAAG